rnacentral:rRNA from 1 species
UACAGAGGGUGCAAACGUUGCUCGGAAUUACUGGGCGUAAAGCGCGUGUAGGCGGUUCGUUAAGUCGUCUGUGAAAUCCCAUGGCUCAACCAUGGAAGUGCAUACGAUACUGGCAAACUUGAGUCCUGGAGAGGGUGGCGGAAUUCCCAGUGUAGAGGUGAAAUUCGUAGAUAUUGGGAGGAACACCGGUGGCGAAGGCGGCCACCUGGACAGGUACUGACGCUGAGACGCGAAAGCGCGGGUAGCAAACAGG